CUCGUAGGUGGCCAACUAAGUCAGACGUGAAAUCCCUCGGCUUAACCGGGGAACUGCGUCUGAUACUGGAUGGCUUGAGUGUGGGAGAGGGAUGCGGAAUUCCAGGUGUAGCGGUGAAAUGCGUAGAUAUCAGGAGGAACACCGGUGGCGAAGGCGGCAUCCUGGACCACGACUGACGCUGAGUGAGCGAAAGCGUGGGGAGCAAACA
rnacentral:rRNA from 1 species